CCAGACUCCUACGGGAGGCAGCAGUGGGGAAUAUUGCACAAUGGGGGAAACCCUGAUGCAGCGACGCCGCGUGAGCGAUGAAGUAUUUCGGUAUGUAAAGCUCUAUCAGCAGGGAAUAGAAAAGAAGGUACCUGAAACAGAAGCCCCGGCUAACUACGUGCCAGCAGCCGCGGUAAUACGUAGGGGGCAAGCGUUAUCCGGAUUUACUGGGUGUAAAGGGCGUGUAGGCGGGAGAGCAAGUCAGACGUGAAAUUCCAGGGCUCAACCCUGGAACUGCGUUUGAAACUGUUCUUCUUGAGUGAUGGAGAGGCAGGCGGAAUUCCGUGUGUAGCGGUGAAAUGCGUAGAUAUCAGGAGGAACACCGGUGGCGAAGGCGGCCUGCUGGACUGCAACUGACGUUGAGGCCCGAAAGCGUGGGGAGCAAACAGGAUUAGAUACCCCCGUAGCC
rnacentral:rRNA from 1 species